CCUACGGGAGGCAGCAGUGGGGAAUAUUGCGCAAUGGGCGAAAGCCUGACGCCGCGACGCCGCGUGAGGGAUGCAGGUCUUCGGAUCGUAAACCUCUGUCAGCAGGGAAGAACGGUCACUGUGCUAAUCAGCAGUGAAUUGACGGGACCUGCAACGGAAGCGCCGGCUAACUCCGUGCCAGCAGCGGCGGUAGUACGGAGGGUGCGGUCUUUAGUCGGAAUUACUGGGCGUAAAGCGCGCGUAGGCGGUAUGUCAAGUCAAGUGUGAAAUCCCCGCGCUUAACGUGGGAACUGCCUUUGAAACUGGCAAACUAGAGUGUGUGAGAGGAGAGUGGAAUUCCAGGUGUAGGAGUGAAAUCCGUAGAGAUCUGGAGGAACAUCAGUGGCGAAGGCGACUAUCUGGCACAUAACUGACGCUGAGGAGCGAAAGCGUGGGUAGCAAACAGGAUUAGAUACCCCAGUAGUC
rnacentral:rRNA from 1 species